rnacentral:rRNA from 1 species
GAGCUCAAAUUUAUAAUCUGGCACCUUCGGUGUCCGAGUUGUAAUCUCUAGAAGUGUUUUCCGCGUUGGACCGCACACAAGUCUGUUGGAAUACAGCGGCAUAGUGGUGAGACCCCCGUAUAUGGUGCGGACGCCCAACGCUUUGUGAUACACUUUCGAAGAGUCGAGUUGUUUGGGAAUGCAGCUCAAAUUGGGUGGUAAAUUCCAUCUAAAGCUAAAUAUUGGCGAGAGACCGAUAGCGAACAAGUACCGUGAGGGAAAGAUGAAAAGCACUUUGGAAAGAGAGUUAACAGUACGUGAAAUUGUUGGAAGGGAAACGCUUGAAGUCAGACUUGCUUGCCGAGCAAUCGGUUUGCAGGCCAGCAUCAGUUUUCCGGGGUGGAUAAUGGUAGAGAGAAGGUAGCAGUUUCGGCUGUGUUAUAGCUCUUUGCUGGAUACACCUUGGGGGACUGAGGAACGCAGUGUGCCUUACGGCGGAUUUCUCGAGAUCUUCACACUUAGGAUGCUGGUGGAAUGGCUUUAAACGACCCGUCUU